rnacentral:rRNA from 1 species
GACGAACGCUGGCGGCGUGCUUAACACAUGCAAGUCGAACGGAAAGGCCCUGCUUGCAGGGUACUCGAGUGGCGAACGGGUGAGUAACACGUGGGUGAUCUGCCCUGCACUUCGGGAUAAGCCUGGGAAACUGGGUCUAAUACCGGAUAGGAGCCAUUUUUAGUGUGAUGGUUGGAAAGUUUUUUCGGUGUAGGAUGAGCUCGCGGCCUAUCAGCUUGUUGGUGGGGUAAUGGCCUACCAAGGCGGCGACGGGUAGCCGGCCUGAGAGGGUGGACGGCCACAUUGGGACUGAGAUACGGCCCAGACUCCUACGGUAGGCAGCAGUGGGGAAUAUUGCACAAUGGGCGCAAGCCUGAUGCAGCGACGCCGCGUGGGGGAUGACGGCCUUCGGGUUGUAAACUCCUUUCGCUAGGGACGAAGCUUUUUGUGACGGUACCUAGAGAAGAAGCACCGGCUAACUACGUG